rnacentral:rRNA from 1 species
GACGAACGCUGGCGGCGUGCUUAACACAUGCAAGUCGAACGGAAAGGCCCCUUUGGGGGUACUCGAGUGGCGAACGGGUGAGUAACACGUGAGUAACCUGCCCUUGACUUCGGGAUAACUUCAGGAAACUGGGGCUAAUACCGGAUAGGAAUCCUUGCUGCAUGGUGGGGGUUGGAAAGCUUCGGCGGUUUUGGAUGGACUCGCGGCUUAUCAGCUUGUUGGUGGGGUAGUGGCUUACCAAGGCUUUGACGGGUAGCCGGCCUGAGAGGGCGACCGGCCACAUUUGGACUGAGAUACGGCCCAGACUCCUACGGGAGGCAGCAGUGGGGAAUAUUGCACAAUGGGCGGAAGCCUGAUGCAGCAACGCCGCGUGCGGGAUGACGGCCUUCGGGUUGGAAACCGCUUUCAGCAGGGGCGAAGCUUGUGGUGACGGUACCUGCAGAAGAAGCACCGGCUAACUACGUG